UGUUUAACGGCCGCGGUAUUUUAACCGCGCGAAGGUAGCGUAAUCACUUGUCUUUUAAAUGGAGACCUGUAUGAAUGGCAUAACGAGGGUUUAACUGUCUCCUCCCCCCAGUCAAUGAAAUUGAUCUGCCCGUGCAGAAGCGGGCAUGCCAACAUAAGACGAGAAGACCCUAUGGAGCUUUAGGCAAAUGAUCAAGCACAACAAACCCCGUUUUUAACCAAGCCCCGGGGGAAACAAAAGCCGAUGAUCAAGAUGCCUUCGGUUGGGGCGACCUUGGAGAAAAAAUAAGCCUCCAAGUGGAAUGGGAAAACCCUUAAACUAAGAGAAACAGCUCGAAGUACCAGAAAUUCUGACCAAACAUGACCCAGGUUUCACCUGAUCAACGAACUGAGUUACCCUAGGGAUAACAGCGCAAUCCUCUCCCAGAGUCCAUAUCGACGAGGGGGUUUACGACCUCGAUGUUGGAUCAGGACAUCCUAAUGGUGCAGCCGCUAUUAAGGGCUCGUUUGUUCAACGAUUAACA
rnacentral:rRNA from 1 species